rnacentral:rRNA from 1 species
GUCGACGCUGAAGCCUGGUGCUUGCACCGGGUGGAUGAGUGGCGAACGGGUGAGUAACACGUGAGUAACCUGCCCCUGACUUCGGGAUAAGCCCGGGAAACUGGGUCUAAUACCGGAUACGACCGUCGGACGCAUGUCUGGUGGUGGAAAGUUUUUUCGGUUGGGGAUGGGCUCGCGGCCUAUCAGUUUGUUGGUGAGGUAAUGGCUCACCAAGACGACGACGGGUAGCCGGCCUGAGAGGGCGACCGGCCACACUGGGACUGAGACACGGCCCAGACUCCUACGGGAGGCAGCAGUGGGGAAUAUUGCACAAUGGGGGAAACCCUGAUGCAGCGACGCAGCGUGCGGGAUGACGGCCUUCGGGUUGUAAACCGCUUUCAGCAGGGAAGAAGCGCAAGUGACGGUACCUGCAGAAGAAGUACCGGCUAACUACGUGCCAGCAGCCGCGGUAAUACGUAGGGUACGAGCGUUGUCCGGAAUUAUUGGGCGUAAAGAGCUCGUAGGUGGUUGGUCACGUCUGCUGUGGAAACGCAACGCUUAACGUUGCGCGUGCAGUGGGUACGGGCUGACUAGAGUGCAGUAGGGGAGUCUGGAAUUCCUGGUGUAGCGGUGAAAUGCGCAGAUAUCAGGAGGAACACCGGUGGCGAAGGCGGGACUCUGGGCUGUAACUGACACUGAGGAGCGAAAGCAUGGGGAGCGAACAGGAUUAGAUACCCUGGUAGUCCAUGCCGUAAACGUUGGGCACUAGGUGUGGGGGGCAUUCCACGUUCUCCGCGCCGUAGCUAACGCAUUAAGUGCCCCGCCUGGGGAGUACGGUCGCAAGGCUAAAACUCAAAGGAAUUGACGGGGGCCCGCACAAGCGGCGGAGCAUGCGGAUUAAUUCGAUGCAACGCGAAGAACCUUACCAAGGCUUGACAUACACCAGACCGUCCUGGAAACAGGUCCUCUUCUUUGAAGCUGGUGUACAGGUGGUGCAUGGUUGUCGUCAGCUCGUGUCGUGAGAUGUUUGGGUUAAGUCCCGCAACGAGCGCAACCCUCGUUCUAUGUUGCCAGCACGUGGAUGGUGGGAACUCAUAGGAGACUGCCGGGUCACUCGGAGGAAAGGUGGGGAUGACGUCAAUCAUCAU